GGUGAACGCUGGCGGCGUGCUUGACACAUGCAAGUCGAACGGUAUGUGGCAACACAUAGAGUGGCGAACGGGUGAGUAACACGUGGGAACGUAUCUUUGCAGGGGAUAACUGACCGAAAGGACAGCUAAUACCGCAUAAGUCCGAGAGGAGAAAGGUGCAAAAGCAUCGGCAGAAGAGCGGCCCGCGGUCCAUCAGCUAGUUGGUGAGGUAAGGGCUUACCAAGGCGACGACGGAUAGCCGGCGUGAGAGCGUGGCCGGCCACAAGGACACUGAGAUACGGGUCCUACUCCUACGGGAGGCAGCAGUGCGGAAUUUUAGAUAAUGGAGGGAACUCUGAUCUAGCGACGCCGCGUGCAGGAAGAAGGUCUUCGGAUUGUAAACUGCUGUGGUAAGGGAAAAAUGCUAUGUAGAGUGGAAAGCUACAUAGAGGGAUGGUACCUUACUAGAAAGCCCCGGCUAACUACGUG
rnacentral:rRNA from 1 species